GACGAACGCUGGCGGCAUGUCUAAUACAUACAAGUCGAGCGAACAGAUGAAGUGCUUGCACUUCUGACGUUAGCGGCGAACGGGUGAGUAACACGUAAGGAAUCUACCUAUAAGCGGGGGAUAACAUUCGGAAACGGGUGCUAACACCGCAUAAUAUCUUCUUCCGCAUGGAAGAAGAUUGAAAGACGGCUCUGCUGUCACUUAUAGAUGACCUUGCGGUGCAUUAGUUAGUUGGUGGGGUAAUGGCCUACCAAGACGAUGAUGCACAGCCGACCUGAGAGGGUGAUCGGCCACAUUGGGACUGAGACACGGCCCAAACUCCUACGGGAGGCAGCAGUAGGGAAUCUUCCGCAAUGGGCGAAAGCCCGACGGAGCAAUGCCGCGUGAGUGAAGAAGGCCUUCGGGUCGUAAAACUCUGUUAUAAGAGAAGAACAAAUUGUAGAGUAACUGCUACAGUCUUGACGGUAUCUUAUCAGAAAGCCACGGCUAACUACGUGCCAGCAGCCGCCGUAA
rnacentral:rRNA from 1 species